AUUGAACGCUGGCGGCAUGCCUUACACAUGCAAGUCGAACGGCAGCACGGGUGCUUGCACCUGGUGGCGAGUGGCGAACGGGUGAGUAAUACAUCGGAACAUGUCCUGUAGUGGGGGAUAGCCCGGCGAAAGCCGGAUUAAUACCGCAUACGAUCUACGGAUGAAAGCGGGGGACCUUCGGGCCUCGCGCUAUAGGGUUGGCCGAUGGCUGAUUAGCUAGUUGGUGGGGUAAAGGCCUACCAAGGCGACGAUCAGUAGCUGGUCUGAGAGGACGACCAGCCACACUGGGACGGAGCCACGGCCCAGACUCCUACGGGAGGCAGCAGUGGGGAAUUUUGGACAAUGGGCGAAAGCCUGAUCCAGCAAUGCCGCGUGUGUGAAGAAGGCCUUCGGGUUGUAAAGCACUUUUGUCCGGAAAGAAAUCCUUGGCCCUAAUACGGUCGGGGGAUGACGGUACCGGAAGAAUAAGCACCGGCUAACUACGUG
rnacentral:rRNA from 1 species